rnacentral:lncRNA from 12 species
CGGAUAUCAAGAAGAGAUGUACGAGAUGUCUCUAUAAUGAAGGGACAAAGGGUGGACAAAACUUAAAGGGAAGCCAGGAUUACAGAUAUUCCCACACAGGAAGAGACAUAGAGGUUGUCACAAGAAGAGAAAUGGCUGACAAACCUGAGGAGGCUGAAGCCGUAGACCCAGGCUGAGAUGGGGACUGCACAGCCGAGGUGGUGCCUUCCACUGUACUGCUGCUGGUGGAUACAGUGGUGGACUCAACAGGCGACGUGGACAGAGCUGGUGAACUGGUCUCCAGGGUAGAGCUCUCGGUAAGAGAAGAGGUGGUGGCAGAAGUUGGGCUUGUCCCAGGAGAAGCAGAUAAUAUUUGUGCAGGGACCGCAGAAGUCGCAGUUGUAUCUGCGGCUUCAGUGGUGACUGGGUAAGGAGUGGAUGUCUCAGCGGGGCUGGAUCGGAUGGGAGUGGUGGAUGAAGGCUUUAGGCUGGAGCUUUCUGCUGAGGUCGAGAGGAUUGUUGACGGUGUCGCAGAUGGAGAGGUUGCAGAUGUUUUUUCCAUAGUUUUCAUACUUGGCUGUUUAAGUGUAUUUGUUGUACUGGGGGUUGCAUCAUCUUCUCUUGUUCUUUCUGGACUUGGGGUAGAGGUUUUUUCUCUCGUGCUUGCAGUUGUGCUUUUAUUCUCUUUGUCCAAGUUUUUUCCCGAAACCGAUGUUCCUGACACCGUUGUUUUUCCAUCCAGUUGUGCUUUUAUUCUCUUUGUCCAAAUUUUUUCCCGAAACCGAUGUUCCUGACACCGUUGUUUUUCCAUCACUUGGGGUUGAACUUUGCCCUGUCCCAUGUAUUACAUUUGUUGUGUAUAUUUUCUCAUUCCUAGGUGUUGUAGGAUACCUCUUUUGCAUGUCUGUAGAUGAUGCUGAUACUUUAGUGGUCUGUCUUGUAGGACCACUGACUUGUUGCUGUGAAUUUCCUGUAAUAAAUGUUGAUUUUUAUGUAGUUUUUUAAAGCCUCUGGUCUUAAUUCUCUAUAGUUUUCAAACAAAUUCUUGUGUUUUUAUUGUUUUUUUAACUACUGGUUUG